GUGCAGCAGGCGAGAAUUUUUCUCAAUGGGGGCAACCCUGAAGGAGCGACGCCGCGUGGAGGAUGAAGGUCUUCGGGUUGUAAACUCCUGUCAUUUGAGAACAAGGGUGCACAUGUUAACUGCAUGUGCAUUGAUAGUAUCAGAAGAGGAAGGGACGGCUAACUCUGUGCCAGCAGCCGCGGUAAUACAGAGGUCCCAAGGCGUUGUUCGGAUUCAUUGGGCGUAAAGGGUGUGUAGGUGGCGCCGUAAGUCGGGUGUGAAAUCUCGGGGCUUAACUCCGAAACUGCAUUCGAUACUGCGGUGCUUGAGGACUGGAGAGGAGACUGGAAUUCAUGGUGUAGCAGUGAAAUGCGUAGAGAUCAUGAGGAAGACCAGUGGCGAAGGCGGGUCUCUGGACAGUUCCUGACACUGAGACACGAAGGCCAGGGAGCAACGGGAUUAGA
rnacentral:rRNA from 1 species